rnacentral:misc_RNA from 1 species
CGCACAUUGCGCCUUUUGGUAUUCCGAAAGGCAUGCCUGUUUGAGUGUCAUAAGACCUCUCAUACCUAGUUUUCUAUGUAUGAGCUUUGGACGCUGCCAUCCGUGGCUCGUCUUAAAUGUCUAAGUGGAAUGCGUAAUAAGUUUUCGCUCCCUCCACUCUAAUAACUUUUAUGUUAGACCUCAAAUCAGGUAGGACUACCCGCUGAACUUAA